rnacentral:rRNA from 1 species
AUUGAACGCUGGCGGCAUGCCUUACACAUGCAAGUCGAACGGUAACGGGCCUUCGGGUGCCGACGAGUGGCGAACGGGUGAGUAAUACAUCGGAACGUGCCCGAUCGUGGGGGAUAACGAGGCGAAAGCUUUGCUAAUACCGCAUACGAUCUACGGAUGAAAGCAGGGGACCGCAAGGCCUUGCGCGGACGGAGCGGCCGAUGGCAGAUUAGGUAGUUGGUGGGAUAAAAGCUUACCAAGCCGACGAUCUGUAGCUGGUCUGAGAGGAUGAUCAGCCACACUGGGACUGAAACACGGCCCAGACUCCUACGGGAGGCAGCAGUGGGGAAUUUUGGACAAUGGGCGCAAGCCUGAUCCAGCCAUGCCGCGUGCAGGAUGAAGGCCUUCGGGUUGUAAACUGCUUUUGUACGGAACGAAAAGCCUUCUUUUAAUACAGGAGGGUCAUGACGGUACCGUAAGAAUAAGCACCGGCUAACUACGUG